GAUGAACGCUGGCGGCGUGCCUAAUACAUGCAAGUCGAGCGAACAGAUGAGGAGCUUGCUCCUCUGACGUUAGCGGCGGACGGGUGAGUAACACGUGGAUAACCUACCUAUAAGACUGGGAUAACUUCGGGAAACCGGAGCUAAUACCGGAUAAUAUGUUGAACCGCAUGGUUCAAUAGUGAAAGACGGUUUUGCUGUCACUUAUAGAUGGAUCCGCGCCGCAUUAGCUAGUUGGUAAGGUAACGGCUUACCAAGGCAACGAUGCGUAGCCGACCUGAGAGGGUGAUCGGCCACACUGGAACUGAGACACGGUCCAGACUCCUACGGGAGGCAGCAGUAGGGAAUCUUCCGCAAUGGGCGAAAGCCUGACGGAGCAACGCCGCGUGAGUGAUGAAGGUCUUCGGAUCGUAAAACUCUGUUAUUAGGGAAGAACAAAUGUGUAAGUAACUAUGCACGUCUUGACGGUACCUAAUCAGAAAGCCACGGCUAACUACGUG
rnacentral:rRNA from 1 species